UACGUAGGGGGCAAGCGUUGUCCGGAUUUAUUGGGCGUAAAGAGCUCGUAGGCGGUUUGUCGCGUCGUCCGUGAAAACUCACAGCUUAACUGUGAGCUUGCGGUCGAUACGGGCAGGCUAGAGUUCGGUAGGGGAGACUGGAAUUCCUGGUGUAGCGGUGAAAUGCGCAGAUAUCAGGAGGAAUACCGGUGGCGAAGGCGGGUCUCUGGGCCGAUACUGACGCUGAGGAGCGAAAGCGUGGGGAGCGAACAGG
rnacentral:rRNA from 1 species